AGAGUUUGAUCCUGGCUCAGGACGAACGCUGGCGGCGUGCUUAACACAUGCAAGUCGAGCGAUGAAGUUUCUUCGGAAAUGGAUUAGCGGCGAACGGGUGAGGAACACGUGAAGAAUCUGCCCUCCACUUUGGGAUAACACCGGGAAACCGGUGCUAAUACCGAAUAUUGAAACAUAAGUGGCAUCACUGAGUUCUGAAAGAAUUUCGGUGGAGGAUGACUUCGCGGCCUAUCAGCUAGUUGGUGAGGUAAUGGCUCACCAAGGCAACGACGGGUAGCCGGCCUGAGAGGGCGACCGGCCACACUGGGACUGAGACACGGCCCAGACUCCUACGGGAGGCAGCAGUGGGGAAUAUUGGGCAAUGGAGGAAAUUCUGACCCAGCGACGCCGCGUGCGGGAUGAAGGCCUUCGGGUUGUAAACCGCUUUCAGUAGGGAAGAAGCGAAAGUGACGGUACCUACAAAAGAAGCACCGGCUAACUAUGUGCCAGCAGCCGCGGUAAUACAUAGGGUGCAAGCGUUGUCCGGAAUUAUUGGGCGUAAAGAGCUCGUAGGUCGUUUGUUACGUCGGAUGUGAAAACCUGAGGCUCAACCUCAGGCCUGCAUUCGAUACGGGCAAACUAGAGUUUGGUAGGGGAGACUGGAAUUCCUGGUGUAG
rnacentral:rRNA from 1 species